rnacentral:rRNA from 1 species
GAUGAACGCUAGCUACAGGCUUAACACAUGCAAGUCGAGGGGCAGCAUGAACAUAGCUUGCUAUGUUUGAUGGCGACCGGCGCACGGGUGCGUAACACGUAUCCAAUCUGCCCGUCACUCGGGGAUAGCCUUCUGAAAGGAAGAUUAAUACCCGAUGGCAUGCAUUUCCGGCAUCGGAGAUGCAUUAAAGAUUUAUCGGUGACGGAUGAGGAUGCGUACGAUUAGCUUGUGGCGGGGUAACGGCCCACCAAGGCGACGAUCGUUAGGGGUUCUGAGAGGAAGGUCCCCCANACUGGAACUGAGACACGGUCCAGACUCCUACGGGAGGCAGCAGUGAGGAAUAUUGGUCAAUGGGCGGGAGCCUGAACCAGCCAAGUAGCGUGAAAGGAUGACUGCCCUA